rnacentral:rRNA from 1 species
GAUGAACGCUGGCGGCGUGCCUAAUACAUGCAAGUCGAGCGAACAGACGAGGAGCUUGCUCCUCUGACGUUAGCGGCGGACGGGUGAGUAACACGUGGAUAACCUACCUAUAAGACUGGGAUAACUUCGGGAAACCGGAGCUAAUACCGGAUAAUAUAUUGAACCGCAUGGUUCAAUAGUGAAGGACGGUUUUGCUGUCACUUAUAGAUGGAUCCGCGCCGCAUUAGCUAGUUGGUAAGGUAACGGCUUACCAAGGCGACGAUGCGUAGCCGACCUGAGAGGGUGAUCGGCCACACUGGAACUGAGACACGGUCCAGACUCCUACGGGAGGCAGCAGUAGGGAAUCCUCCGCAAUGGGCGAAAGCCUGACGGAGCAACGCCGCGUGAGUGAUGAAGGUCUUCGGAUCGUAAAACUCUGUUAUUAGGGAAGAACAAAUGUGUAAGUAACUAUGCACGUCUUGACGGUACCUAAUCAGAAAGCCACGGCUAACUACGUG